rnacentral:rRNA from 1 species
GACGAACGCUGGCGGCGUGCUUAACACAUGCAAGUCGAACGGAAAGGCCCUGCUUUUGUGGGGUGCUCGAGUGGCGAACGGGUGAGUAACACGUGAGUAACCUGCCCUUGACUUUGGGAUAACUUCAGGAAACUGGGGCUAAUACCGGAUAGGAGCUCCUGCUGCAUGGUGGGGGUUGGAAAGUUUCGGCGGUUGGGGAUGGACUCGCGGCUUAUCAGCUUGUUGGUGGGGUAGUGGCUUACCAAGGCUUGGACGGGUAGCCGGCCUGAGAGGGUGACCGGCCCCAUUGGGACUGAGAUACGGCCCAGACUCCUACGGGAGGCAGCAGUGGGGAAUAUUGCACAAUGGGCGGAAGCCUGAUGCAGCAACGCCGCGUGCGGGAUGACGGCCUUCGGGUUGUAAACCGCUUUCGCCUGUGACGAAGCGUGAGUGACGGUAAUGGGUAAAGAAGCACCGGCUAACUACGUG